UACGUAGGGGGCAAGCGUUGUCCGGAUUUAUUGGGCGUAAAGAGCGUGUAGGCGGUUUGGUAGGUCCGCUGUGAAAACUCGAGGCUCAACCUCGAGACGCCGGUGGAAACCAUCAGACUAGAGUCCGGAAGAGGAGAGUGGAAUUCCUGGUGUAGCGGUGAAAUGCGCAGAUAUCAGGAAGAACACCCGUGGCGAAGGCGGCUCUCUGGAACGCAACUGACGCUGAGACGCGAAAGCGUGGGGAGCAAACAGG
rnacentral:rRNA from 1 species